CGUAGGAAUCUACCUAGUAGAAGGGGAUAGCCCGGGGAACUCGGAUUAAUACCGUAUACCUCCUUUGGGAGAAAGAAGGCCUCUCUUUGAAGCUUUACGCUAUUAGAUGAGCCUGCGUAAGAUUAGCUUGUUGGUGAGGUAAAGGCUCACCAAGGCGACGAUCUUUAGCGGGUCUGAGAGGACGAUCCGCCACAUUGGGGACUGAGACACGGCCCAGACUCCUACGGGAGGCAGCAGUGGGGAAUAUUGGACAAUGGGCGCAAGCCUGAUCCAGCCAUACCGCGUGUGUGAAGAAGGCCCUAGGGUUGUAAAGCACUUUAAGUUGGGAAGAAAAGUUAUUGGUUAAUACCCAAUGACCGUGACAUUACCUUCAGAAUAAGGACCGGCUAAUUCCGUGCCAGCAGCCGCGGUAAUACGGAAGGUCCAAGCGUUAAUCGGAAUUACUGGGCGUAAAGCGCGCGUAGGUGGUUUAUUAAGUUGGAUGUGAAAUCCCCGGGCUCAACCUGGGAACUGCAUCCAAAACUGAUUCACUAGAGUACGAUAGAGGGAGGUAGAAUUCACAGUGUAGCGGUGGAAUGCGUAGAUAUUGUGAAGAAUACCAAUGGGCGAAAGGCAGCCUCCUGGAUCUGUACUGACACUGAGGUGCGAAAGCGUGGGUAGCGAACAGGAUUAGAUACCCUGGUAGUCCACGCCGUAAACGAUGUCAACUAGCUGUUGGAAAACUAUGUUUUUCAGUGGCGCAGCUAACGUAGUAAGUUGACCGCCUGG
rnacentral:rRNA from 1 species